rnacentral:rRNA from 1 species
GACGAACGCUGGCGGCGUGCUUAACACAUGCAAGUCGAGCGGUAAGGCCCCUUCGGGGGUACACGAGCGGCGAACGGGUGAGUAACACGUGAGCAAUCUGCCCAUCACAUCGGGAUAACUCCGGGAAGCCGAAGCUAAUACCGAAUACGACCACCUCCGGCAUCGGAUGGUGGUGGAAAGUUCCGGCGGUGAUGGAUGAGCUCGCGGCCUAUCAGCUUGUUGGUGGGGUAACGGCCCACCAAGGCUUCGACGGGUAGCCGGCCUGAGAGGGUGACCGGCCACACUGGGACUGAGACACGGCCCAGACUCCUACGGGAGGCAGCAGUGGGGAAUAUUGGACAAUGGGCGAAAGCCUGAUCCAGCAACGCCGCGUGAGGGAUGACGGCCUUCGGGUUGUAAACCUCUUUCAGCAGGGACGAAGCGCAAGUGACGGUACCUGCAGAAGAAGCACCGGCCAACUACGUG